AGGGCACCACCAGGAGUGGAGCCUGCGGCUUAAUUUGACUCAACACGGGAAAUCUCACCAGGCCCGGACACCGGAAGGAUUGACAGAUUGAGAGCUCUUUCUUGAUUCGGUGGGUGGUGGUGCAUGGCCGUUCUUAGUUGGUGGAGCGAUUUGUCUGGUUAAUUCCGAUAACGAACGAGACUCUGGCCUACUGACUAGGUGGAGGAUCCCUUCGUGGGUUCUUCACUGCUUCUUAGAGGGACGGGCGGCGUUUAGCCGCACGAGAUUGAGCAAUAACAGGUCUGUGAUGCCCCUAGAUGUUCUGGGCUGCACGCGCGCUACACUGAAGGAAUCAGCGUGUCCUCCCCGCUCUGAAAAGAGUGGGUAACCCGUUGAAACUCCUUCGUGAUGGGGAUUGGAGAUUGUAAUUAUUCUCCAUGAACGAGGAAUUCCCAGUAGGCGCGAGUCAUCAGCUUGCGUCGAUUACGUCCCUGCCCUUUGUACACACCGCCCGUCGCUACUACCGAUCGAGUGAUUUAG
rnacentral:rRNA from 1 species